rnacentral:tRNA from 1 species
UCGGGAGUCGUCCAGCGGCAAGGACGCCUGGCUCUGGACCAGGUAGCGGGGGUUCGAAUCCCUCCUCCCGAA